rnacentral:rRNA from 1 species
UGGGGAAUUUUGGACAAUGGGCGCAAGCCUGAUCCAGCCAUGCCGCGUGCGGGAAGAAGGCCUUCGGGUUGUAAACCGCUUUUGUCAGGGAAGAAAUCUUCUGAGUUAAUACCUCGGGAGGAUGACGGUACCUGAAGAAUAAGCACCGGCUAACUACGUGCCAGCAGCCGCGGUAAUACGUAGGGUGCAAGCGUUAAUCGGAAUUACUGGGCGUAAAGCGUGCGCAGGCGGUUUUGUAAGACAGAGGUGAAAUCCCCGGGCUCAACCUGGGAACUGCCUUUGUGACUGCAAGGCUUGAGUGCGGCAGAGGGGAUGGAAUUCCGCGUGUAGCAGUGAAAUGCGUAGAUAUGCGGAGGAACACCGAUGGCGAAGGCAAUCCCCUGGGCCUGCACUGACGCUCAUGCACGAAAGCGUGGGGAGCAAACAGGAUUAGAUACCCUGGUAGUCCACGCCCUAAACGAUGUCAACUGGUUGUUGGGAAGGUUCCUUCUCAGUAACGUAGCUAACGCGUGAAGUUGACCGCCUGGGGAGUACGGCCGCAAGGUUGAAAC